rnacentral:lncRNA from 10 species
GCCGACCGACACGCGGCCAGGCCUAGACCCUCUGCCGAGUGGGGGCGGGCCAGCUGGUUCGAGGACCCUGCGUCCCCGCGCCCGCCCUGCACCAACACUCCUCUCCCGCUUGUCCCCGCGCCCCGGGCCAGGACCCUUCCUUUCCGCAACCCAUCUCAGACCUCUGAGCCGACCACCACCACCUUCCACAAAAUUUCCCUCGUCCGUGCCGGUGCAGCUUGCGUCUCCAGGCUGCUGGGGCCCUCCUGGACCCGCGGGCUUGGACAGAGACGUCUGGGGCGCCCUGUUUUGGGUUGAACUUGGUGGAAGGCUCCGAGGUUUCCUUUGGCCCCUGACACGAUGAUCAGUCUGGAAGUCGGCUCUCACUCUCCUUCCAGCUCCGGUGGAGGCAGCCGCAGGAGGAUGGCAGCCGAGACAAGGAGGCAGCAGACCCUCCUCCGCUGCGGUGACCUCGCUCAGCGGGGGGUGCAUGUCAUUCGGCCAAGGAGAGGUCAAAGGCCAAGGCAGACAAGGCUAGAGGCUAGACUGGGCCUCCUACAUUUUCCACAACGCUGUGUGUGUGUGUGUGUGUGUGUGUGUGUGUGUUUCGGGGACAGUGAGUGGGACAAGGGAAAAGUAGAUGAGAAGGAGCAGGGCUUUGCAGCAGGGUGUGGAAAGAGCACUGCGCAGUGAGUCUGGAGACCCCUAUUCCAGACUCGGCUCUGCCUCUCAUUACUGUCUGACCUUGGACACAGCCCCUAGCUUGCUGGGGUAGCAGAUCUCUGGGGUUGAAAUGGGGCUCUGCCUGCUCCCCAGUUUAUAGAGUGGCAUUAGAUGCCCAGUAAAUCGUGGCAUUAGAAUAAGAGAGUGUGGUGGGGGGGAGGGGCACAUGGUUUCCAAAGGCAGAGGACUGGUGGUGGCAGGGGUGACCUUGACAACUAGUGGUGGGUAUAAAGCUGCCUGCAGGCCGGGCGCGGUGGCUGACACCUGUAAUCCCAGCACUUUUCGAGGCCGAGGCGGGCGGAUCACUUGAGGUGAGGAGUUUGAGAUCCACCUGGCCAAAAUGAUGAAACCCUGUCUGUACUAAAUAUACAAAAAUUAUCCGGGCGUCGUGGUGGGCGCCUGUAAUCCCAGCUACUUGGGAGGCUGAGGCACGAGAAUUGCUUGAACCCAGGAGGCGGAGGUUGCAGUGAGCUGAGAGCGUGCCACUGCACUGCAGCCUGGUGACAAAGUGAGACUCCGUCUCAAUAAAUAAAUAAAUUAAUUAAAAAAAAAACAGCCUGCAGUACACCGGAACCAGGGCUGGGGACAGGCAGUAAGAAGUGCAGCCCAGGGGUCUGCUUCCUCUGUUUCCCCACAGAAGCUCACCUUUCUGUUGCUUAAUAGAGCUGCCGGGAUGGGGCAGGACUCCCGUUCCCCCUCCUUCACUCUACCACCCAAGCGGUCCCCAAGGUGAAUGCCACAUUCUUUAGUGAGCUUAGCCCUGCUGAUGUGCGGUGGUGCCUUUUCUAGGGCCCCUGUGCCUGUCAGCCAAGUCUACCCUGACUAUGCAGGGAAUGGCUUUCUUCUCUUGCCCGUUGGCGUUGGCGGCAGGCAGGGGCCUAGAUGUUGGCUUCUUCACUUUCCCUCCCUGGCUCCACAGAUCUCCCCCAGUUGCAGGCUCUCUGGUUCCUUGAACUUCCAAAGAUAAAUAAAUAGUGAUUGCAAAUGGAGGAAGGGAGAAGGGGAAUGGACUCCCCCAGCAGGAGCCCUCACAGGCGGUGGCCCAGGCUGCAUUCCUCAGGAAAGAGCUGACAGCAGAGCCACAGCCCAUAGGCAGGGCUGUGCAGCCCUCCUGCUCACAGGCAAGGAAGACUCUGAGAUCUCUGGCCUGGGUCAUAUAGCUUUUCUGUGAUUUCCUUUGGCUAAAUGAAGACACUCAAAGUCUAAAGAAGAAUUCUACUGGAACACCCACUCCUGGAGGCUGAACAGAGGCCAAAGGACAUUUAAUGAGGCGAGGCUUCCCCACCACUAGGAAUGAAAUGUCUGAUGGAGACAUCUACAAAACACUGGACUGUCCUGAGGGUCACCACAUUUGACUUCUUACCCACCCAGGGAGGUGAUGAAGUGGAGGUUACUUUCUUAUUUUGCAAGUAUGGAUGAAGAAACUGAGUCACUGAGACUAGAGUCCAAGGAUUUUAACAAUCAGACUCAGGUCAACAGUGGUUGAGAUAAUGGCCCAUAAUUGGCUCCAGAAUGCAAACGUGGCAUUUCUCCAGGAUUCCAUUAGCUCAGAAUGACAAGUCCUGCAGAUGAGGACUACUUCCUGCACGAUGACCACAGCGGCUAAGAGGCUGAGGCAGGAGAACCGCUUGAACCCAGAAGGUGGAGACUGUGGUGAGCGGAGAUUGUGCUGUUGCAUUCCAGCCUGGGCGGCAGAGCAAAAGUCUGCCUCAAAUAAAUACAUAAAUAAAUGUCCUCUGUGCUGUCUCUGUGGAGGAUCAAGAGUGGUGGGACCAGUGGGGGAACAGGAGACAGUGAGGAGGCCAGGCCCACAGGCCAGUGG